rnacentral:rRNA from 1 species
GUAAAGCGAGCGUAGGUGGCUUGAUAAGUCAGAUGUGAAAUCCCCGGGCUUAACGGGGAACUGCAUCUGAUACUGUUAAGCUAGAGUAGGUGAGAGGGAAGUAGAAUUCCAGGUGUAGCGGUGAAAUGCGUAGAGAUCUGGAGGAAUACCGAUGGCGAAGGCAGCUUCCUGGCAUCAUACUGACACUGAGGCUCGAAAGCGUGGGUAGCAAACAGGAUUAGAUACCCUGGUAGUCCACGCCGUAAACGAUGUCUACUAGUCGUUGGGUCCCNUGAGGACUUAGUGACGCAGCUAACGCAAUAAGUAGACCGCCUGGGGAGUACGGCCGCAAGGUUAAAACUCAAAUGAAUUGNCGGGGGCCCGCACNAGCGGUGGAGCAUGUGGUUUANUUCGAUGCAACGCGAAGAACCUUACCUGGUCUUGACAUACACAGAAUCUUGUAGAGAUACGAGAGUGCCUUCGGGAAUUGUGAUACAGGUGCUGCAUGGCUGUCGUCAGCUNGUGUNGUGAGAUGUUGGGUUAAGUCCCGCAACGAGCGCAACCCUUGUCCUUAGUUACCAGCGGGUUAAGCCGGGAACUCUAAGGAUACUGCCAGUGACAAACUGGAGGAAGGCGGGGACGACGUCAAGUCAUCAUGGCCCUUACGACCAGGGCUACACACGUGCUACAAUGGUAGGUACAGAGGGCAGCUACACAGCGAUGUGAUGCGAAUCUCAAAAAGCCUAUCGUAGUCCAGAUUGGAGUCUGCAACUCGACUCCAUGAAGUAGGAAUCGCUAGUAAUCGCGGAUCAGAAUGCCGCGGUGAAUACGUUCCCGGGCCUUGUACACACCGCCCGUCACACCAUGGGAGUUGAUUGCACCAGAAGUGGUUAGCCGAAC